UCGAAGCCAUUACGUCGAACCGGAACCCGGUCGACGAAUCCAACGUCCUGAAAAGAUACAAGGAGAUCUGGACUGUGCUCAUGUGUAAGUACAGUGACAUUAUACUUAAGUACAGGGUUCUCAUAAAUCAUUUUAUACGGGUUUGCCAAGACGAGAAAAGUACGCCCGACUCGUUUCAAAGGUAUUACAACUGUUUUCGAUUGUUGCUGAUCAAACUCCACAGCAUGACGCCGAGGUUUAAAUGCAUGACAGAUGCAUUGGACUUUUUCUACUCGAUAGGUCCACAAUCAAGACCUCAGCAGGGUGUAGUGCUCGCCACUCGAAAGUUGACCGAGUUUACUUCAACUAUAAUGCCAACAACGUUGUCGAAAUUGUCCAAACAAGUUAUCGACGAGGACGUGAUCGAUCUCGAAAUUGAAUACAUAAGCGAAUGUAUGAUGGUAAUAAUCAGAAAUAGCAUCUAUAAUUUUACCAAACGUUAUUGCAUCGGCAAGUCUCACAGAGAUGUGACUACAAAGAAAUUUUACAACGAUAUGGAGUACAAGAAGAACAUUCAAUUGAUACCGGAGGAAACGACCAUGGUUCAAUAUUUAGCUAAUGAAAUCGAUUCUUACGUUAGUGAAAUCUUGGACAGUUGUUUCUUCAAUUUGGGCUUCAGAUACGCGGUGGAGGAUAAAGUUACAAUUGGGACUAAUUAUUAAAAUAUUAUUAGCACCGAAGGGAAACACCGAUUAAUUUAGAUGGUAUCGUGUAUUUCUGACUUAUCAAAUAAAAUGUGUCAACGUGUUAUUUUAUUUUAUAACCUUAUACGUGUUCAAUUAGACUAAAAUAAUUUAAGUAACUACGAAAAAUAAUGAACUUUAUAAAAAUAUCAUUGUCACGCAAUUUAAGAAAAUUUUAAUAAAUGGAAAACAAGAUACA